GCAGGUAUCGUUCAGCAGUAGGACCUCGGUCUUCCAAACCGAUGACGUGGGUGCGACUCCCGCUACCUGCU
rnacentral:tRNA from 1 species